GCCCCCUACAUCUGCCCUGUUGAUACGGGAUUCAGAUUCUGGAGCUUCAGCAAAGUUUUUAAAGUGGAGGUGAUGGAAGAGACCAGCCAGGGCCGUGUUCAGAUGGGGUUAGGAAGCCAAUGAGGUGUGAUGCAAAAGGAAGAUGUGUAUGCUAUCAGGAUGGCAGGGACCCUGUCGUUAAACAAGAACCUACAGAUGGAGGAGACACGAGCACCAUAAUCUCACCCAUCAA